rnacentral:rRNA from 1 species
UACGAAGGGGGGCUAGCGUUGCUCGGAAUCACUGGGCGUAAAGCGCACGUAGGCGGAUCUUUAAGUCAGGGGUGAAAUCCUGGAGCUCAACUCCAGAACUGCCUUUGAUACUGGGGAUCUCGAGUCCGGAAGAGGUGAGUGGAACUCCGAGUGUAGAGGUGAAAUCGUAGAUAUUCGGAAGAACACCGGUGGCGAAGGCGGCGCUCUGGACCGAGACUGACGCUGAGGCGCGAAAGCGUGGGGAGCAA